GUUUUAAAGCAUGUAAUGGGCUUUACUUAAUCCAAUAAUGUGGAAAAAAAGGAAACUUUAAAGUCCGGGUAGUAUUAAUAGUCACAAACUCACAUUGUUUAAACUUUGCUGAGGGUGGUUUAUAAAACACAAGCGACUCACGCCAAGCAGCCAUGCAGAACACGAUCCAGGAUUUACCCAGGACCCUCGCCAGAGUAUCUGUCAUCUAAACCACAAUGGUGAAAAAUUAAAGUAUAAAUGAGGUAAAAGGUGAGGCGCUCCGCAUUGGAGUACCGUGUUCCAGGAGCACAGGUUACGGACCCGCUCCUGCUGCCACUUUUUAUCUCUGGAUUGAGUAAAUGGCAGGGAGGAUGUACCAGCAUCCAGCCAUUUUGUUAUGCAACAGAACAUGAAUGCAGUGCACAAAUGGAUUUGCCAAUUAUUUGCUUUAACAUAAAAUAAAUGUGGACUCUGAUGACUGCGGCGCGCUUAGGGUUUGUGUGUUCCCUCUGUGAACAGCACAGAUGCCUCUGGGACUUCAGCUUCCACACAACACUUUGCUUCUCUUAAUGGCUUUGUCCAGUGUUAACGAUGCAGCCUCUAAAUAUUUGCACCUUGGGCUUUUCUUUCCAAUUCCCCACAGUUUUCUAAUGUAUUUUAUAUUCUGGGUGAAGGGGCUGUUUAACACUUUCCCUCAUUCAGCUGCACAAACAGCUAAUCUGUCUUCUCCUGCAGAUGUGCAGAGGAAUGAAGAUCAUCUGCUCUGAUGUGCAUCCACAUUUCAUCAUUAAAUCGUGGUUUAAAUGACAAAACGUGCUUGUUAUUGUAUUCAUGCAUAAAAAAUAU